UACGGGGGGAGCAAGCGUUGUUCGGAUUUACUGGGCGUAAAGGGCGCGUAGGCGGCGUGACAAGUCACUUGUGAAAUCUCCGGGCUUAACUCGGAGCGGCCAAGUGAUACUGUCGUGCUAGAGUGCGGAAGGGGCUACUGGAAUUCUCGGUGUAGCGGUGAAAUGCGUAGAUAUCGAGAGGAACACCUGCGGCGAAGGCGGGUAGCUGGGCCGACACUGACGCUGAGGCGCGAAAGCUAGGGGAGCGAACAGG
rnacentral:rRNA from 1 species